CGCCGGCGGGGGCCUCGGGAAGAGUUAUCUUUUCUGCUUAACGGCCUGCCAACCCUGGAAACGGUUCAGCCGGAGGUAGGGUCCAGUGGCCGAAAGAGCACCGCACGUCGCGCGGUGUCCGGUGCGCCCCCGGCGGCCCAUGAAAAUCCGGAGGACCGAGUACCGUUCACGCCCGGUCGUACUCAUAACCGCAUCAGGUCUCCA
rnacentral:ncRNA from 1 species